UACGUAGGGUGCAAGCGUUAUCCGGAAUUAUUGGGCGUAAAGAGCUCGUAGGCGGUUUGUCGCGUCUGCUGUGAAAACUGGAGGCUCAACCUCCAGCCUGCAGUGGGUACGGGCAGACUAGAGUGCGGUAGGGGAGAUUGGAAUUCCUGGUGUAGCGGUGGAAUGCGCAGAUAUCAGGAGGAACACCGAUGGCGAAGGCAGAUCUCUGGGCCUUACCUGACGCUGAGGAGCGAAAGCGUGGGGAGCGAACAGG
rnacentral:rRNA from 1 species